rnacentral:lncRNA from 10 species
AGGAAGGUUUGAGAAGUCAAAAGAAGUAAUUGGUAAACAUGAAGAUGGGAUCAUUGAAAUUAUUGAAUCUGAAGAACAGAAAUUUAAAAAGUAAACAAAGUACUAAGGAACCUGUGGUAUACUAUCAACCGGACCAGCAUACACAUCUUGGAUAUUCUAGAAGGAAAAGAGAGAGAUAAAAAGUCACAGCAUAUUUGAAAAUUUCCUGAAUUUGAUGAAGGAAAUAAAUUCAUUGUCAAUGUCUUCAUGUUGUGUAGGCUGAGGAAGAGGAGGGUGAGGAGGGGUUGGUCUUGUUGUCUCAGGAGUGGCAGAGGUGGAAGAGAAUACACAUAUAAGUGGACUCACAUAGUUCAAACCCAUGUUGUUCAAGGGUUACCUGUGCUAGCAAAUUGAAUUCAAGAGCCUAUUAAAAGUAUCCUUCACCAUGAUUAAGUGGGACUUAUCCCUAGAAUACAAGGAUGGUUCAACAUACCCAAAUCAAUAAAUUUGACACAGCAUAUUAACAAAAUGAAAGACCUGAAGACAUUCAUACUGGAUGGCCAUGAAAUGGGAGGUAUAGGUAUUUGCUGAAGAUGAGAGUGACAGUAAUGAUCUAGAGGACAAUGUAGAGAUUUAGGACUGUCCCUGAGGGCAUAUGAAAGGGAGUUUACCAGGAACAAACCAAAUAAAAAUGAAAGAAUUGAAUGAAAUGACAAAAAACCAUUAGGUAUCUAAGUUACAGUCUGCUGUCAAGAGCCAAUUAGAAAAUGCAAGCACUUUGGCUACACCAAAAAAACCUGGAAG